rnacentral:rRNA from 1 species
CUAGAGAGUAGUUGCGGUAGGCGGAAUGUAUGGUGUAGCGGUGAAAUGCUUAGAGAUCAUACAGAACACCGAUUGCGAAGGCAGCUUACCAAACUAUAUCUGACGUUGAGGCACGAAAGCGUGGGGAGCAAACAGGAUUAGAUACCCUGGUAGUCCACGCAGUAAACGAUGAUAACUCGUUGUCGGCGAUACACAGUCGGUGACUAAGCGAAAGCGAUAAGUUAUCCACCUGGGGAGUACGUUCGCAAGAAUGAAACUCAAAGGAAUUGACGGGGGCCCGCACAAGCGGAGGAACAUGUGGUUUAAUUCGAUGAUACGCGAGGAACCUUACCCGGGCUUGAAAGUUACUGACGAUUCUGGAAACAGGAUUUCCCUUUGGGGCAGGAAACUAGGUGCUGCAUGGUUGUCGUCAGCUCGUGCCGUGAGGUGUCGGGUUAAGUCCCAUAACGAGCGCAACCCCUACCGUUAGUUGCCAUCAGGUCAAGCUGGGCACUCUGGCGGGACUGCCGGUGUAAGCCGAGAGGAAGGUGGGGAUGACGUCAAAUCAGCACGGCCCUUACGUCCGGGGCUACACACGUGUUACAAUGGUAGGUACAGAGGGUCGCUACCCCGCGAGGGGAUGCCAAUCUCGAAAGCCUAUCUCAGUUCGGAUUGGAGGCUGAAACCCGCCUCCAUGAAGUUGGAUUCGCUAGUAAUCGCGCAUCAGCCAUGGCGCGGUGAAUACGUUCCCGGGCCUUGUACACACCGCCCGUCAAGCCAUGGAAGCUGGGGGUGCCUGAAGUUCGUGACCGCAAGGAGCGACCUAGGGCAAAACCGGUAACUGGGGCUAAGUCGUAACAAGGUAGCCGUACCGGAAGGUGCGGCUG